rnacentral:rRNA from 1 species
UACGAAGGGUGCAAGCGUUAAUCGGAAUUACUGGGCGUAAAGGGUGCGUAGGCGGUUUGGUAAGUCUUGUGUGAAAUCUACAGGCUCAACUUGUAGUCUGCACGAGAAACUGCCGGGCUUGAGUGUGGGAGAGGUGAGUGGAAUUCCUGGUGUAGCGGUGAAAUGCGUAGAUAUCAGGAGGAACACCGGUGGCGAAGGCGGAUCUCUGGGCCGAUACUGACGCUGAGGAGCGAAAGCGUGGGGAGCGAACAGG